UACAUUAAUAUUAGUCUUCUACUCUCUAGGGUUUCUGUAAGAGAUUAGAUUAACAUUGUCUUCUCUCUCAGCUGCAGACACACACGCACACUCAAACGCCGCCGUUUCCCUCUCUCUCUCUCUCUCAACCACUCUCGCCGUUUAUCUCUCUCUUCAGGGAUAACCUUUUCUCUAUAAAUGAGGGGACGAAGUUAUAGCCCAUCACCACCAAGGGGUUAUGGCAGGAGAGGACGAAGCCCUAGCCCUAGGGGUCGCCAUGGUGGUCGUAGUAGGGAUGGCCCUACUAGCCUUCUUGUUCGUAACCUUCGCCAUGACUGUAGGCCAGAGGACCUUCGUAGACCAUUUGGGCAGUUUGGUAGUCUCAAGGACAUUUACUUGCCAAAGGAUUAUUAUACUGGUGAAACUAAAGUUUUGAAGACAACAAUCAAGUAGUUAGAGUUCUUUUGAAGAUGAUGUUAAUGGGUAAUGAAGAUUGGAAGGAAGUUGGGUUUGAAUACAUUGUGAAGAUGUUCCAAGUCUUGAAGAAUUUCAAGUCAUCUUAAAACUGACACUUGCAAGGGAACCCCGUGGUUUUGGUUUUGUGCAAUAUUUAGAGCCUGCUGAUGCUGCAGAAGCUAAGUAUCAUAUGGAUGGUCAGGUUCUUCUUGGCCGUGAGUUGACUGUUGUAUUUGCAGAGGAGAACAGGAAGAAGCCAUCUGAUAUGAGGGCAAGGGAGAGAGUGAGCAGCAGUAGGAGUCGAUAUCAUGAUCGAAGACGGUCACCUCCACGUUAUUCUCGCUCGCCAAGAUACUCCCAUUCUCCACCUCCACGCCAUGCAAGAUCUCGUUCCCAAAGCCGUGAUUAUUCCCCUGCCCCCAAACGAAGGAAUUACUCAAGAUCUGCUUCACCCCGCGACAGAAGGCACAGUCAAGAAAGAUCAUACUCUCGGCAGAGUCGUGAGAGAUCAUAUUCACGUUCUCCACCCUAUAAUGGCUCAAGGAGCCGCAGCCAAAGUCCAGCCAGGGCCGCCCCGAGUCGGAGUCGGAGCCAAAGUCCUAACAAUGAAGAGUACUCAAGGCAACCAAACGGAGAUAGGUCUCCUAGUCAGUGAGCCAUUUGAAAGAAGACUACUGUUAUGUUAGCUCUUUGUCGGAUUUUGUUUGCACUUUCCAUCAAUUUUAUGUUGGGUGUCGUACUGUUCCAUGAAUUUGAUUUAGAUUCUGGUUCUGUUGUGAUAAUUUAGGAGAAUUUGCUUCUUUUACGUACGGUUUUGGAAAAUCUUAGAGUCUAUAUUGUAUGUUGAAAUUGUGGUGUUCAAA